rnacentral:rRNA from 1 species
GGCGGCGUGCUUAACACAUGCAAGUCGAACGGUGAAGCCCAGCUUGCUGGGUGGAUCAGUGGCGAACGGGUGAGUAACACGUGAGCAACCUGCCCCGGACUCUGGGAUAAGCGCUGGAAACGGCGUCUAAUACUGGAUACGAGACGCAACCGCAUGGUUAGCGUCUGGAAAGAUUUUUUGGUCUGGGAUGGGCUCGCGGCCUAUCAGCUUGUUGGUGAGGUAAUGGCUCACCAAGGCGUCGACGGGUAGCCGGCCUGAGAGGGUGACCGGCCACACUGGGACUGAGACACGGCCCAGACUCCUACGGGAGGCAGCAGUGGGGAAUAUUGCACAAUGGGCGGAAGCCUGAUGCAGCAACGCCGCGUGAGGGAUGACGGCCUUCGGGUUGUAAACCUCUUUUAGCAAGGAAGAAGCGAAAGUGACGGUACUUGCAGAAAAAGCGCCGGCUAACUACGUGCCAGCAGCCGCGGUAAUACGUAGGGCGCAAGCGUUAUCCGGAAUUAUUGGGCGUAAAGAGCUCGUAGGCGGUUUGUCGCGUCUGCUGUGAAAACCCGAGGCUCAACCUCGGGCCUGCAGUGGGUACGGGCAGACUAGAGUGCGGUAGGGGAGAUUGGAAUUCCUGGUGUAGCGGUGGAAUGCGCAGAUAUCAGGAGGAACACCGAUGGCGAAGGCAGAUCUCUGGGCCGUAACUGACGCUGAGGAGCGAAAGGGUGGGGAGCAAACAGGCUUAGAUACCCUGGUAGUCCACCCCGUAAACGUUGGGAACUAGUUGUGGGGUCCAUUCCACGGAUUCCGUGACGCAGCUAACGCAUUAA